AUAUGUGUGAAGGAGUGGUUUUAUUAAAUCAGUGGGAACAAGGAAACACAUGAUUUAAUAAAAUCAUCAA
rnacentral:sRNA from 10 species